GGCGAGUGAAGCGGCAACAGCUCAAAUUUGAAAUCUGGCCUUCGGGUCCGAGUUGUAAUUUGUAGAGGAUGCUUUUGGCGCGGUGCCUUCCGAGUUCCCUGGAAUGGGACGCCUUAGAGGGUGAGAGCCCCGUAUGGUUGGACACCAAGCCUCUGUAAAGCUCCUUCGACGAGUCGAGUAGUUUGGGAAUGCUGCUCUAAAUGGGAGGUAAAUUUCUUCUAAAGCUAAAUAUUGGCCAGAGACCGAUAGCGCACAAGUAGAGUGAUCGAAAGAUGAAAAGCACUUUGAAAAGAGGGUUAAAUAGCACGUGAAAUUGUUGAAAGGGAAGCGUUUGCGACCAGACCUUUUCGUAGCGGAUCAUCCGGUGUUCUCACCGGUGCACUUCGCUUCGUUUAGGCCAGCAUCGGUUUCUGUAGGGGGAUAAAAGCUUGGGGAACGUAGCUCCCUCGGGAGUGUUAUAGCCCCUCGCAUAAUACCCUUACGGGGACCGAGGACCGCGCUUUAUGCAAGGAUGCUGGCGUAAUGGUCGUCAACGACCCGUCUUGAAACACGGACCAAGGAGUCGAACAUUUAUGCGAGUGUUUGGGUGUUAAACCCUCACGCGUAAUGAAAGUGAACGGAGGUGAGAGCCCUUACGGGUGCAUCAUCGACCGAUCCUGAUGUCUUCGGAUGGAUUUGAGUAAGAGCAUAACUGUUCGGACCCGAAAGAUGGUGAACUAUGCGUGGAUAGGGUGAAGCCAGAGGAAACUCUGGUGGAGGCUCGCAGCGGUUCUGACGUGCAAAUCGAUCGUCAAAUCUGCGCA
rnacentral:rRNA from 1 species